rnacentral:rRNA from 1 species
AGCGAACGCUGGCGGCAGGCCUAACACAUGCAAGUCGAACGAACCCUUCGGGGUUAGUGGCGGACGGGUGAGUAACACGUGGGAACGUGCCUUUAGGUUCGGAAUAACUCAGGGAAACUUGUGCUAAUACCGAAUGUGCCCUUCGGGGGAAAGAUUUAUCGCCUUUAGAGCGGCCCGCGUCUGAUUAGCUAGUUGGUGAGGUAAUGGCUCACCAAGGCUACGAUCAGUAGCUGGUCUGAGAGGAUGACCAGCCACAUUGGGACUGAGACACGGCCCAAACUCCUACGGGAGGCAGCAGUGGGGAAGCUUGCGCAAUGGGCGAAAGCCUGACGCAGCCAUGCUGCAUGGUGAUGAAGGUCUUAGGAUUGUAAAAUCCUUUCACCGGUGAAGAUAAUGACUGUAGCCGGAGAAGAAGCCCCGGCUAACUUCGUGCCAGCCGCCGCGGUAAUAC